rnacentral:rRNA from 1 species
CACGUAGGGCGCAAGCGUUGUCCGGAAUUACUGGGCGUAAAGAGCUCGUAGGCGGUCUGUUGCGUCCGCUGUGAAAACCCGAGGCUCAACCUCGGGCCUGCAGUCGAUACGGGCAGACUAGAGUGCGGUAGGGGAGACUGGAAUUCCAGGUGUAGCGGUGAAAUGCGUAGAUAUCUGGAGGAACACCGGUGGCGAAGGCGGCGUCCUGGACCAACACUGACACUGAUGAGCGAAAGCCAGGGGAGCAAACGGG